rnacentral:tRNA from 1 species
CAAGAAAUAGUUUAUUAAAAUAUUAAUUUUGGAGAUUAAAGAUAAAGAUUUUUCUUUUUUCUUGA